rnacentral:tRNA from 1 species
GGAAGGGUGCGAAGAGCUAAACGCGCGGCUGUAAAUCCGCUUCCUUCGGUUCGGGGGUUCGAAUCCCUCCCUUCCCA